CUGUAGCUGCUCAGGGCUGCACAUCCAGUGUCAAGCCACAUCACUGCCUUACUGAAGUGGCUUAUCAUCUCAGAGCCAAGAUGUGUCAUCUUAGACUGGAGAAGAAGUUCACCCUUGCUCUCUGUCCAGGUUUUUUGAAAUGAGUGGAGCCUACAUCAUAGAAUGGAUGAAUCAGGAGCCAUUAUGGCACACGGGAAGCAUGGUGGAUAAGGCAGCUCAACCCGUGAUGAUGCAGGGCAGGUAAGAUGUCUCAGGGUGAUGUGGAGUCUGACUCAGUCUCUAAAGUCAGGUCCUCAACAGGCCGCAGGGGUGGCAGAUACUGAUUGUCUGCUCAAAAACCAGGCCUUCUUCUUUGUUAACAGAAGAGAAAUUUUACAUGGAUGGCAGUGUGCUUAGAUCUAAGGGAUAAACUAUGAUUACUCUAAAAGAAAGAAGCACAAAUUAGCAUUAGAUUUUGCUAGAAAAAUAAACAUCAAAUGAUGCUGAGUUAAGGUUGCUUAAGCCUAGUGUCCCGUAAAGUCCCCACCUUGAGGAUAUGGGUAUCACUCAUUCGUUAGCAGCGAGAGGGGAAGUGUCCAUCACAGCGGGGGAAGCUUCCCCAAGCUAAGACCAGUGUCUGUUCUGUCGGCUCAUGCGAAUCAGUCCUAUACCUUCGUACCUUUUUUGUUGUUGCUACCAGAGGUGGUGGCUCUCUCAAAAAUUUUUCUUGGUGUAUAGAAAUGUCACUAAUUUUUAUAUGUCAAUCUCAGAGUGAGAAACCUUAAUAUCAUCUUAUGUUCUUUUUUUAAUCUCUUCUAUGUAGUUAAUCACAUCACCUGCAAAAAAUUAGAGUUUUGUUUCCUCCUUUCCAGUUGAUAGAGGGUGCCAUGGUAUGGAUAAUUGUUAACAAAUAUUUAUUCUUUCCCAUUCGAUGGACCAUGAGUAGGCUGACACUUACCAUGUCCAAGCAGAGGCUUUGAUCUGCUUGCAUUGCUGGGCUAAGCCUCUCAAGCUUGCACUGCUCAUGACUGAACUACAAGUCCCCACCAGUAGCAUAUCUGUCAGCCUAUGACCCAGACCGAAGAGGAGUAUGAAGCAGUUGUCCUGAACCAAUUUUCAGCCUGGAGUCAACCUCAGAUGAGCCCAGGCCACUGUAGCUGCCCACAGACUGGGAAAGAAAAAGAACAAUUUGUAGGAAGCCUCUGACACUUGGAGUUGUUUUGUAGUAUGAUUGUGGCACAAACUGACUAAUAUAUAUGCAUUAUUCAUUUUUCUUGACUGAAUAGGCUAGGUCUACAAUGUUGAAUGGAAGUGGUAACAUCUUCCUUUAGUUUUUAAAGGAAAUAUCUCUAAAAUUUUAGCAUUAAACACAUUUUUGUGUUAUAUGUUUUGUGGCAUUUCGUGGUCUUUUUAGUCUUAAUUUGCAAACAAGUUUUUAAGUGAAAUGGGGCUGAAUGUUAGAAAAUGCUUUUCUGCAUUUGUUGAUGUGAUCCUCUGGUUUUUCAUAAAUGUUAUGAAUUUUACUGACAUGUUUUCUAAUGUUAAGUACUCUUAUAUUCCUGGGAUACACCCAACUUGGUCACACUGUGCUUUCUUUUUUUUUUUUUUUUAGAUUACACAUGGCUCCAUUUUAUCUGCUUACAUUUUAUUCAGGAAUAUUGCAUUUAGGCUAAUGCAUGACAUUGACUUAUAAUUCCUUUCUUGCAUUUUCUUGCUUGUUUUUGCUCUUAUGUUUAAAGUAGCUUCCUGGAAUGAGUUCACAAAAGUUACCUCUUUUAUCAUAAAAAAUUAGAAAUAGCUGUUGUGUCAUAAGAACUUGCCUGUAACAACUGGGCCUUAUGUUUUCUUUGAGGAAUAUGUUGAAUUGUUGAUUUUUUUAUUUCAUUGUUAUAGGCUAAUCAAUGUUUUAAUUUCUUCCUAAGUCAGUUUUGUUGUUUUGCCCACUGAGAAAUGUACAAUGCAUUUCAAAUGUAUUGGCAUAAAGUUGUUAGGAGUACUCUCUGAUGCACUUUAAAGUUUCUGCUUUAUCUCUAACUAUGAACACAGGAACUGAAUACCUAUAAAGGCCAGUCUGUGGCCCUGAAUUCUCAGGGAAGCUUUUAUCUGUACUCAAGACAAUGCUUUGCUUCCAGACUCUAUGGGCAGUUUGGCUUCCU